rnacentral:tRNA from 1 species
UCUUGUAAUCCGAAGAUCGGAGGUUAAACUCCUCCCUAGCGCC